rnacentral:lncRNA from 1 species
UACGUUAUUCCUCUUCUUUGUACAUACCAAGCAGUAGCUUGCAAAUAAGCAUCAGUAUCUAUCAUGAGAGCUGAUGCUUUCUGCAGAAGCCCAGUGCAAAGAAUUUGCAGAUCCCCAUCAACCUGUAAAAUGCCAAGUACGUAGUUAAUAGAAGCAAGAACAACCAUGAUGUUUUGCAAUGCACUUCAAUCAUUUGUUUUAAUCGGUUAUUUUAAAUGACUAUAUCAAAAGUAAAUGAAUUCCAAUUCAUACCCUGAAAGCUGUAACCAGUGCAUUACAAGCAUCAAGAUACUGAUAUCCAGUUUGUGCCUGCACAAAUAAAAACAGACAUGAUUCAUGUUGGAGCCAAGUAUACUGACAGGGUUAUGCAUCGAUUGACAACCACAAACCCCCACACCAAACAAAAAAACAGGGGAGAGAGUGAUCUAAUCCAAAUAUUAUCACCUUAUCGUAGUCUUGAUCAAGAC